CUCCAUCUCUCUCUCGCUCGUUCUCCCUCCUUCCCUCUAGCCUAUCCUUCUCUCUCUGUCCAUUUCUCCAUCUAUUUCUCAGAAUUGUCACUUUGAGUCACAGUGUGUGAGUUACAGCCUGGAGCAGUGUGACUGUCCUGGGAGAGUCCAAGAAAGGGAAGUGCCACGUGCUGCCAGCAGCCAGUUCCAGGGUAAGCGUGUAGCCUUGGUUGCCGGGGAGCCGUGUUCAGCCAAGCAGGUCUACUGCGACAAGUUCCUGGUGUUCUAGGCAUCCUGGACACUGACAGGCCCAUCGCCAGGCUGAAGAACUCCUUCCUCCACCUGGUAGACCUGGAUGAGUUUGACAACCUGGCUGAGUGGAUGAAGGCUCACUGGUAGGCUAUUCUCCUGGCCAUCAUGACUCUGUCUGCCGUGAUGGUCAACACCGUGUGUCUGUGUGAAUGCACCCUGUAGCUCCAUUUCUGUCUCUGACUAGGACAAAGACUAUAACCGUCAACUCUCUAACUAUGUUAACAAGUACGUCAUAACUCUGUGCCACGUUCCUCAAUGCAUGUGUGGUGGAAAAGGGGGUGUUGCCAAGUUUGUUUUGCCCUCACUGAUCUACGAGUGGGAUGUUCUUUUUUACAUCCACCUGUCCAUUCAUGCACUUAAUGUACCAUUCUUCCUUCCGUCCAUGGCCUUCCAUCAGUGUCCUUCGCUUAGCAAUUUGAACCUGAAGGCUAAUUUGAUCCUUGACAAUCAUCCAGUUUUCCACCGUAGUGGCAUUGUCUCAUUUGACACAAUGGACCAGCUUGAACCAGUUUGAAGGACACAAGGAUUGCCUCUAGUCACCUGUAUUGUGUAUGUCUGUCCACUGGAGUACUGAGGUAUCUAGAUGAGGUGAGGACUAAAAUAAGCUGUAUAGACAGACAUGGUACACCAGGCAGAAUAGUCCAGUUUUACUCAGAGCUGUUGUUGUUCAUCAGCCAUUGUACUGGAGCUUGAAAAGAGAGUGCCACUGAAAAACAAGAGACCAUUUGAUAUUGGUGGGUCAGCCAAAUGGAAAGGCAUCAGAAUCUAAGGGACAGCACAGUAUUCAUUCCCCUUGACUUAUGACACAUUUUGUUGUCUUACAACCUGAAUUUAAAAUGCAUUAAAUACAUUUUGUUGCUCACCCAUUUACAUACAACACCCCAUAAUGACAAGGUGAUAUUUUUGCACAUUUAUUGAAAAUUAAAUACAGAAAUAUCUCAUUUAAAUAAAUAUUCACACCCCUGAGUCAAUACAUGUUAGAAUCCCUUUUGACAAAGAUUACAGCUGUGAGUCUUUCUGAAUAGGCCUGUAAGAACUUUGCACACCUGGAUUGCACAAUAUUUGCAUAUUAUUAUUAUAUUAAAAAAAUGUGGUUGAUGAUCAUUGCUAAACAUACAUUUUCAAGUCUUGCCAUAGAUUUUCAUGCCGAUUUAAGUCAAAACUGUAACUAGGCCAUUCAGGAACAUUCAAUGUCAUCUUGGUAAGCAACGCCAGUGUAUAUUUGGCAUUGUGUUUUAGGUUAUUGUCCUGCUGAAAGGUGAAUUUGUCUCCUAGUUUCUGUUGGAAAGGAGACUGAACCAGGUUUUCCUCUAGGAUUUAGACUGGCUUAGCUCUAUUCCAUUUAUUUGUAUCCAAAAAAACUCCCUAUUCCUUGCUGGUGACAAGCAUACCCAUAACAUGAUGGAGCCACCAGCAUGCUUGAAAAUAUGAAGAGUGG
rnacentral:lncRNA from 1 species